rnacentral:rRNA from 1 species
CUUGGGUGACGAGUGGCGGACGGGUGAGUAAUGUCUGGGGAUCUGCCCGAUAGAGGGGGAUAACCACUGGAAACGGUGGCUAAUACCGCAUAACGUCGCAAGACCAAAGAGGGGGACCUUCGGGCCUCUCACUAUCGGAUGAACCCAGAUGGGAUUAGCUAGUAGGCGGGGUAAUGGCCCACCUAGGCGACGAUCCCUAGCUGGUCUGAGAGGAUGACCAGCCACACUGGAACUGAGACACGGUCCAGACUCCUACGGGAGGCAGCAGUGGGGAAUAUUGCACAAUGGUUUGCAAGCCUGAUGCAGCCAUGCCGCGUGUAUGAAGAAGGCCUUCGGGUUGUAAAGUACUUUCAGCGGGGAGGAAGGCGAUGCGGUUAAUAACCGCGUCGAUUGACGUUACCCGCA